GGGUUGUGAGGUUAAGCGACUAAGCGUACACGGUGGAUGCCCUGGCAGUCAGAGGCGAUGAAGGACGUGCUAAUCUGCGAUAAGCGCCGGUAAGGUGAUAUGAACCGUUAUAACCGGCGAUUUCCGAAUGGGGAAACCCAGUGUGAUUCGUCACACUAUCAUUAACUGAAUCCAUAGGUUAAUGAGGCGAACCGGGGGAACUGAAACAUCUAAGUACCCCAAAGAAAAAGAAGCAACCGAGAUUCCCGCAGUAGCGGCGAGCGAACGGGGAGGAGCCCAGAGCCUGAAUCAGCAUGUGUGUUAGUGGAAGCGUCUGGAAAGGCGCGCGAUACAGGGUGACAGCCCCGUACACAAAAGCGCAUGUGCUGUGAGCUCGAUGAGUAGGGCGGGACACGUGGUAUCCUGUCUGAAUAUGGGGGGACCAUCCUCCAAGGCUAAAUACUCCUGACUGACCGAUAGUGAACCAGUACCGUGAGGGAAAGGCGAAAAGAACCCCGGCGAGGGGAGUGAAAAAGAACCUGAAACCGUGUACGUACAAGCAGUGGGAGCACCCUUCGGGGUGUGACUGCGUACCUUUUGUAUAAUGGGUCAGCGACUUAUAUUCUGUAGCAAGGUUAACCGUAUAGGGGAGCCGGAGGGAAACCGAGUCUUAACCGGGCGUUAAGUUGCAGGGUAUAGACCCGAAACCCGGUGAUCUAGCCAUGGGCAGGUUGAAGGUUGGGUAACACUAACUGGAGGACCGAACCGACUAAUGUUGAAAAAUUAGCGGAUGACCUGUGGCUGGGGGUGAAAGGCCAAUCAAACCGGGAGAUAGCUGGUUCUCCCCGAAAGCUAUUUAGGUAGCGCCUCGUGAAUUCAUCUCCGGGGGUAGAGCACUGUUUCGGCUAGGGGGCCAUCCCGGCUUACCAACCCGAUGCAAACUGCGAAUACCGGAGAAUGUUAUCACGGGAGACACACGGCGGGUGCUAACGUCCGUCGUGAAGAGGGAAACAACCCAGACCGCCAGCUAAGGUCCCAAAGUCAUGGUUAAGUGGGAAACGAUGUGGGAAGGCCCAGACAGCCAGGAUGUUGGCUUAGAAGCAGCCAUCAUUUAAAGAAAGCGUAAUAGCUCACUGGUCGAGUCGGCCUGCGCGGAAGAUGUAACGGGGCUAAACCAUGCACCGAAGCUGCGGCAGCGAACGUAUCACCCAAGACAACUUUACGGAGUUGACGAUUGACGGAGCGAAGCGACGUCAAAGCGUUCAUUAAAGUCGAGUUGGCUUAGGGAUACGUUCGUUGGGUAGGGGAGCGUUCUGUAAGCCUGUGAAGGUGUGUCGUGAGGCAUGCUGGAGGUAUCAGAAGUGCGAAUGCUGACAUAAGUAACGAUAAAGCGGGUGAAAAGCCCGCUCGCCGGAAGACCAAGGGUUCCUGUCCAACGUUAAUCGGGGCAGGGUGAGUCGACCCCUAAGGCGAGGCCGAAAGGCGUAGUCGAUGGGAAACGGGUUAAUAUUCCCGUACUUGGUGUUACUGCGAAGGGGGGACGGAGAAGGCUAUGUUGGCCGGGCGACGGUUGUCCCGGUUUAAGCGUGUAGGUGUGUGUUCCAGGUAAAUCCGGUUCACUUUAACACUGAGGCGUGACGACGAGGCACUACGGUGCUGAAGCAACAAAUGCCCUGCUUCCAGGGAAAAGCCUCUAAGCAUCAGGUAACAUCAAAUCGUACCCCAAACCGACACAGGUGGUCAGGUAGAGAAUACCAAGGCGCUUGAGAGAACUCGGGUGAAGGAACUAGGCAAAAUGGUGCCGUAACUUCGGGAGAAGGCACGCUGACACGUAGGUGAAGUGAUUUACUCAUGGAGCUGAAGUCAGUCGAAGAUACCAGCUGGCUGCAACUGUUUAUUAAAAACACAGCACUGUGCAAACACGAAAGUGGACGUAUACGGUGUGACGCCUGCCCGGUGCCGGAAGGUUAAUUGAUGGGGUCAGCGCAAGCGAAGCUCCUGAUCGAAGCCCCGGUAAACGGCGGCCGUAACUAUAACGGUCCUAAGGUAGCGAAAUUCCUUGUCGGGUAAGUUCCGACCUGCACGAAUGGCGUAAUGAUGGCCAGGCUGUCUCCACCCGAGACUCAGUGAAAUUGAACUCGCUGUGAAGAUGCAGUGUACCCGCGGCAAGACGGAAAGACCCCGUGAACCUUUACUAUAGCUUGACACUGAACAUUGAGCCUUGAUGUGUAGGAUAGGUGGGAGGCUUUGAAGUGUGGACGCCAGUCUGCAUGGAGCCGACCUUGAAAUACCACCCUUUAAUGUUUGAUGUUCUAACGUGGACCCGUAAUCCGGGUUGCGGACAGUGUCUGGUGGGUAGUUUGACUGGGGCGGUCUCCUCCUAAAGAGUAACGGAGGAGCACGAAGGUUGGCUAAUCUGGGCGGACAUCAGGAGGUUAGUGCAAUGGCAUAAGCCAGCUUGACUGCGAGCGUGACGGCGCGAGCAGGUGCGAAAGCAGGUCAUAGUGAUCCGGUGGUUCUGAAUGGAAGGGCCAUCGCUCAACGGAUAAAAGGUACUCCGGGGAUAACAGGCUGAUACCGCCCAAGAGUUCAUAUCGACGGCGGUGUUUGGCACCUCGAUGUCGGCUCAUCACAUCCUGGGGCUGAAGUAGGUCCCAAGGGUAUGGCUGUUCGCCAUUUAAAGUGGUACGCGAGCUGGGUUUAGAACGUCGUGAGACAGUUCGGUCCCUAUCUGCCGUGGGCGCUGGAGAACUGAGGGGGGCUGCUCCUAGUACGAGAGGACCGGAGUGGACGCAUCACUGGUGUUCGGGUUGUCAUGCCAAUGGCACUGCCCGGUAGCUAAAUGCGGAAGAGAUAAGUGCUGAAAGCAUCUAAGCACGAAACUUGCCCCGAGAUGAGUUCUCCCUGAGACUUAGAGUCUCCUGAAGGAACGUUGAAGACGACGACGUUGAUAGGCCGGGUGUGUAAGCGCAGCGAUGCGUUGAGCUAACCGGUACUAAUGAACCGUGAGGCUUAACCUUACAACGCCGAAG
rnacentral:rRNA from 1 species